rnacentral:rRNA from 1 species
AAAUUGAAGAGUUUGAUCAUGGCUCAGAUUGAACGCUGGCGGCAGGCCUAACACAUGCAAGUCGAACGGUAACAGGAAGCAGCUUGCUGCUUUGCUGACGAGUGGCGGACGGGUGAGUAAUGUCUGGGAAACUGCCUGAUGGAGGGGGAUAACUACUGGAAACGGUGGCUAAUACCGCAUAACGUCGCAAGACCAAAGAGGGGGACCUUCGGGCCUCUUGCCAUCAGAUGUGCCCAGAUGGGAUUAGCUUGUUGGUGAGGUAACGGCUCACCAAGGCGACGAUCCCUAGCUGGUCUGAGAGGAUGACCAGCCACACUGGAACUGAGACACGGUCCAGACUCCUACGGGAGGCAGCAGUGGGGAAUAUUGCACAAUGGGCGCAAGCCUGAUGCAGCCAUGCCGCGUGUAUGAAGAAGGCCUUCGGGUUGUAAAGUACUUUCAGCGGGAGGAAGGUGUUGUGGUUAAUAACCACAGCAAUUGACGUUA